GUUCUCUCACACACACUUUACGUAGGAGAAAACAGGCUGAGUGAGGACUCGCAAGGGCCUGAGGUCCAGUGGCCAGAGAGUCAGGAUUCCCGAUGGUUCCAGUGCCUCCCGCUCCCAGGACUGUCAGGCCAGUGGUUUCUGGGGCCUAUGGCUAUGACUUUUCCCAUCGAUUAUCUGCCAACCGAUGGAGGUGGACUGUCUUCAUUCCCUGGCAACUAACUUGGAGGUAGUCAGCAAAUGGAACUUGAUAUCAAAGAACUGCCAUCCAAAGAGAAGUCCUGAUGCCUCAAGGCCAGUGGGAACCCACCCAAGAGUUACCUUGAUACAGCAGGACUGGGCCUUCCAAGAGCCAGAAGAACUCACCACAGCUCUGUGGUCCAGUGCUACCAGAGAAGAUGCAGAGACCCAUGGCUACAGUGGCCUAGACAGUCCCUGAGAGAACACUCAUACCCCAGCCUGGGAUGUCCCCACAGAGCACCUGCCGCCCACCCUGGGCUACUCCCACAAAGACCACUCGUUCCUUGUCAACCUCCUUUGCAGAUUCUCACCACAGUACCCUAAGAAGCAGCUUGGCACAGCCUAACCCAGGCCCUAGCCCCUCACCCUAAGCCCACAGAGGGCAUGUCUAGUCACAGUAAACCAUCUCUAAAAGGGC